ACUUUGUGCUCAUUACCGGAUUGUCUCCUGACAGCCCAGAAUACUCCCCCAGACUCUCCUCCUGAACUGUGUGAAAUCUAUUUUGCAUUUGCAAGUGUCUGGGCCUUCCACGAUCAGUAUCAAUCACUGGAAUUGAUUACCGUCAAUUAAAGAACACCUUCGGCCAGGCUCGGAGAGAGAUUCUCAUCUAACUCUUGACUCAGAGGCCGUAUUAUGGAUUAGAAGAAACCCAAAGUCCUGCUAACUUGGCAGUGGGAAGCCAGAGGUUGUAAGAGCUAAUCUCCCAAAUGUGCCACUUAACUGUCGGCUAAAGGGUAGGUACAAGAAGACAGCUUGAGAACCCAC
rnacentral:lncRNA from 12 species